UUUCCGUAGGUGAACCUGCGGAAGGAUCAUUACAGAGUUCAUGCCCUCACGGGUAGAUCCCCCACCCUCGAAUAUUUAUACCUUAGUUGCUUUGGCAGGCCGCGGAAACACCAUGGGCUCCGGCUUAUGCGUGCCUGCCAGAGGAAACAAACUCUGUUUUUAGUGAUGUCUGAGUACUAUAUAAUAGUUAAAACUUUCAACAACGGAUCUCUUGGUUCUG
rnacentral:misc_RNA from 1 species